rnacentral:rRNA from 1 species
UACAGAGGGUGCGAGCGUUAAUCGGAAUUACUGGGCGUAAAGGGUGCGUAGGUGGUUAGAUAAGUUAGGUGUGAAAGUCCUGGGCUUAACCUGGGGAUUGCGCCUGAUACUGUGUAGCUAGAGUACUGUAGAGGAAAGUGGAAUUUCCGGUGUAGAGGUGAAAUGCGUAGAUAUCGGAAGGAACAUCGGUGGCGAAGGCGACUUUCUGGACAGAUACUGACACUGAGGCACGAAAGCAUGGGGAGCAAACAGG